rnacentral:rRNA from 1 species
CACCAGGUUGAUUCUGCCUGGUGGAUGCUAGUUUCAUAGGUUAAGCCAUGCAUGUGUAAGCGAAGCUUUUAGUGGAGCGGCGCAAGGCUCAGUAACGGGCGUCUGAUUUGAUCUCUCGGAGUGGACAACCUCUGUAACCGGAGGCCAAAACACGGGAGGGGCAUGCAGUGGAGAUGCCCCGAGAACAUUAGUGAGAGAGAGUAAGGAGCCAUCCCAUCAGUUAGUAAGUAGGGUAAGGGCCUACUUAGACGAGGACGGGUACGGGGAAUUAGAGUUUGAUUCCGGAGAGGGAGCCUGAGAGACGGCUACCAGGUCCAAGGACAGCAGCAGGCGCGAAAAUUACCGAAGCCUGCAUUCAGGGCGGUAGUAAGGAAACGCGAAAACGAUGUGCAGGUAAAGAAUGCACUAGUAACAGGAGGUCAAGACUGGUGCCAGCAUCCGCGGUAAUACCAGCUCCUGGAGUGUCUAUGAUGAUUGCUGCAGUUAAAGAGUUCGUAGUCGGACUGCGUGACUGGCGUGAAAGACCCUUUUAUUCGUUCAUUCAAGGGGGGCGCAGCGCCGGAAAAGCAGGGAAUAAGGAGCGGCCGGGGCACAGGUUAUUAAGCGACGAGAGGUGAAAUUUGAUGACUCGCUUAGGAGCAACAGAGGCGAAAGCGCUGUGCAGGGGCGAUUCCGAUGAUAAAGGACGUAGGCUAGAGGAUCGAAGAUGAUUAGAGACCGUUGUAGUUCUAGCAGUAAACGAUGCCGAUGCCGUGGGGCAGUUCUUAGACUGCGCCGCGGAAGAGAAAUUGAGUAGGGCCCUGGGGAGAGUACACGCGCAAGCGAGAAAUUUAAAGGAAUUUGACGGAAGAACACCACAAGGAGUGGAGUGUGCGGCUUAAUUUGACUCAACGCGGGACAGCUUACCAGGCCCGACGACCGCACGAGUGUGGUACACGAUAGGUCGGAGAGUGGUGCAUGGCCGUUAACGACAAGUGGGGUGACCUUUGGGUUAAGUCCGGGAAGUUGUGAGACCCCUGCUGGCGAGCCAGGACAGGUGCUCAAAGCACAGGAAGGAAGGGUCAAGAACAGGUCAGUGAUGCCCUUAGAUGGUCUGGGCUGCACGCGCACUACAGUGGUCACACGAGUUUAUAGAUAGAAGAAAUGGUGAUCGAGAGGAAAUGAGCUUUGCAAGAGGCUCAGGAACGAGGAAUUGCUAGUAAUCGCGGGCUCAUUAAGACGCGAUGAAUACGUCCCUGUUCUUUGUACACACCGCCCGUCGUUAUCGAAGAUGGAGUCAGGCGCGAACAAGCGAGAGCGAGUGAGUGCAGGGUUCUAGAUGUGAUACAAGUCGUAACAAGGUAGCUGUAGGAGAACCAGCAGCAGGAUCAUAA